rnacentral:lncRNA from 1 species
GGAGUCCAGCCAGCUGGCGCACUCACCCUGGACGACUAGGAUGCUCAGCAGUGGAAAGAGAGCGCAGCCACGGCCUCCUACUGUUCCUCUUGCCAGCUGCAUCCCGACAGCUCUUCCGAUACUUACACACCCUCUUUACGCCUCCCGGGGACCAUGCAGGUGGUGCCGGAAGUGACGUCAUGUCGGGAGUCACCUUUGAAAGAGCCGUCCCGGACCCAACCUCAAUCAGGGACAAGGAUUGUUACUAGAAUCGUACCCGGUUACCCUCAUCAGCGGUUCUUUGACUCUCAGGAGGAUCUGAUUGCGCUCUUCUGCUUCAGAUUGGCUACAGACUGAAAAAACAGUUCUAUUUUUAUGGAAUUCCAGGGAACCAGGCUCGAUCCUCCGACUGUAAUCCAGAAGUUAUCUCUCUAGAAUAUCUAAGUUGAACCCUCACAAAAGAUUCUCAUACAUUUGAAGUUCAGGAAAACGUAGGCGACCAUCCAAGAUCAGAAUAAAUAUAUCUUUUUUGGGUCCUUUGGU